rnacentral:rRNA from 1 species
UACGUAGGGCGCAAGCGUUGUCCGGAAUUAUUGGGCGUAAAGAGCUCGUAGGCGGUUUGUCGCGUCUGCCGUGAAAGCCCGGGGCUUAACUCCGGGUCUGCGGUGGAUACGGGCAGACUAGAGGCAGGUAGGGGAGAACGGAAUUCCCGGUGUAGCGGUGAAAUGCGCAGAUAUCGGGAGGAACACCGGUGGCGAAGGUGGUUCUCUGGGCCUGUACUGACGCUGAGGAGCGAAAGCGUGGGGAGCGAACAGG